GCCAGAGGAGAUCGUUUGUCUGUGGGGGAAUGGAUACUCACAGUUGGAGAGAAGACGCUUCUUCUGUCUGACUUUUCUUAGAUCAUCAUUCAAAGUAAAGUUUGAUAUAUAGCUCAUGAGAAUUUCUUUCCAAUGACACCCUGAAAGUUCAAGUUUUAUUGAUAUAUGAAAUAGAAAACUUAAAUAGAAUAGUUUGACUUGUUUUAGAUAUGCUUUUUUACAUUGUUGACAGAUAGAUGAAAAGACCUAUACCACUCUCAUAGGGUAGCUGUAUUAAAGCCAAUUAGCUUAGCUUGGCAUACCAUCAAGACUGUAAACAGAUGGAAACCCAAGCCUGGCUCUGUCUAUAAAUCACAAAAUAUGCCAAACCAGGAGGCCUAUCUCUAAAGCUCAUUUGUUUAUGUUAUAUCUCAUUUGUGAGUUAAAAAAAUUGUCUACGGUUUUAUGUUCUGGUGCAACAAAUUGGGGGAAAAAAUUAAAAACUGCAAAGCCAGGCUAGCUGUUUUCUCAGUUUUGGUCUGUAUGAUAAGCUAACCAGUUAGCUGUAGUCUGAUAACGUUCUGUUGAUUGAAUUUCCCAAAAUAUUGAACUAUACCUUUAAAGGGUGGGGUUAGCAGUUAUAAACUAAUGUACUUUUAAUCAAACUCUGGGAAUAUCUCCUAAUAGUCCGCUAGCUGCCCCCUCUGUGAGGCUGCUGAAAAAUAUCGAGUGUUUCUACACAGCCCUGGCUCUAGAAUGUGGGGUAGAAAUAAAGUGGAUUGAUGCAAUCCGUUCCAGUCAAUCAUGGCGUUCGUGCUCGUGCACAGGAGGUAGGAGGUUAUAAAGGGGGCAGAAGGGGAGCAGAGACGGGGUAAUGGCCGAUGAACAACCUAAGAGGAAAUAAGCGGCGGAGGGACUUCCGGGAAUGGUUACUCUGUUUUUGCUUGGCAGUGGACGCACACAAUUCCGCCAUUUCCCUCCUCGGCCAGUUGUCAGCAUGGGUUGCCAUGGCGAUGCGCGUCCGAACUUCGGAAGGAACACCGAAGGCAGAGUGGGACAGAUGAUUUUAAUGCACCAGAAUGCUGUCUGACUCACCAUCAUCCAGUGGGAGACUAGACAGGGAGCUACAGUUGGAACGGACGAGUUCAUCUGGACUGUAGAUGUUCGAUACAACAAGGGCAGGCUGCAUCACAGGGGAGUGAUUCAUGUGAAUGAUGUCAUCAUGCAGUACAUAUUCCUAUUCCCACCUCGAGAAAGGACGUCUACAGAGGCAGUAGGACAUUGUGAUAUAUCCUUCCAUGUCCUGUCCUACAAGUGCAAGUAGCGACAUGGACCACAAUAUUUCAUUAGCAGCCACAGUGACAGUGGUGGUCAAAUCUGCUUCUAUCAAUCUCUGUAAUAUGGUAAUGCUAGCAGUAGAAUGGCAGUUCAUAUUGAAGUGAGGAGCUUUGGUAACAUUUUCACAUUUUUCUGCUUUUGUCUUCUCCAGAGCUGCAUACACUGAUUGAACUCACAGAGUUUUCACUGCUGUCUUAAGAACUGACCUUGAGUGAUUGUGACUGUGUGUUAAAAAAAAACUAAAGCUACAUAAUGAAAGAGAGAUCCAGUGGUUACAUUUUCAUGACUGCUGAGUUAAAAUAAAUAAAUCUGAAUAUUUAAA